CCUACGGGAGGCAGCAGUGGGGAAUAUUGCACAAUGGGCGCAAGCCUGAUGCAGCCAUGCCGCGUGUGUGAAGAAGGCCUUCGGGUUGUAAAGCACUUUCAGCGGGGAGGAAGGCGGUGAGGUUAAUAACCUCAUCGAUUGACGUUACCCGCAGAAGAAGCACCGGCUAACUCCGUGCCAGCAGCCGCGGUAAUACGGAGGGUGCAAGCGUUAAUCGGAAUUACUGGGCGUAAAGCGCACGCAGGCGGUCUGUCAAGUCGGAUGUGAAAUCCUCGGGCUCAACCUGGGAACUGCAUUCGAAACUGGCAGGCUAGAGUCUUGUAGAGGGGGGUAGAAUUCCAGGUGUAGCGGUGAAAUGCGUAGAGAUCUGGAGGAAUACCGGUGGCGAAGGCGGCCCCCUGGACAAAGACUGACGCUCAGGUGCGAAAGCGUGGGGAGCAAACAGGAUUAGAUACCCGAGUAGUC
rnacentral:rRNA from 1 species